AAUCGUAGGUCAGCAUACUACGGUGAAUACGUUCCCGGGCCUUGUACACACCGCCCGUCACACCAUGGGAGCCGGGAAUGCCCGAAGUCGGUGACCCAACCGUAAAGGGAGGGGAGCCGCCGAAGGCAGGCCUGGUAAACUGGGGUGAAGUCGUAACAAGGUAAC
rnacentral:rRNA from 1 species